rnacentral:misc_RNA from 1 species
AUUAACUUAGAUCGAUCAUGAACAAAAAUUCGAAGAACAUUAAAUAGUGGAUUGGUAGGAGGAAUUACUGAUCGAGGUAAGCCCCAAAAAACAUUUUAAUUACUGAUUCAAUUUUCAUUUCAAAAGGAGCUCUAUAGUCUCUUUUUUUUCCCGUCUCAAAAAAGAUAUCACACCAAAUAAAUCCAUUAAUUGGGCAAAAAUGCCACCAAUACAAAAGAGAAAAAGCAAACAGGGUGAUUUGAACAUACCUUGAAAUUACUAAAAGAAACUGUUCACCUAAUUUCGAAAUUCCUAAGGAAGUCCGAGAGCCUGAUAUUUUUAGCGAUUACUGUGCUUCCAUCUUCAGAGCCAAGAUGGCGUAGUACCACUUCCUCCACACGACCAUCACGGUGUUGAUGCUUGUAGAAACAGCUAGUCCCAAAUGGACAAGUCCCAUUCCCAAAGUCAAAGUGCUUGCAAUCAAUAGAUCUGAGUUUGUUUUUGUAGUUGUCAACUAUUUCUUCCUUCUCUUCUUUUGUGAAGUACCAAAUAACACUUGGAAUGACAAAAUAUGAAAGCUUUCUGCAUAUGGGACACGCCCUCAGUGCAGAAUUAACAUCCAUCCCAGAGGAAGAACUGCCACGCCAAUUCCUUAUACACGAUACACAAAAUGGAUGAUCACACUCAGAAAGGAUCCCAAACUUCCUCUCAGCUGCUGUUGACUUGGAAAGAACGCGUUCAAGGCAUACACUGCAUUCUAUUUCUUGACUGCGCUUCAAUAAAUCAAGGUGCUUUUGCUUGUUCUCACAUGUUUUUAUAUGCUCCUCUCUUUCCUCGGGCCUGAAAGGAUGCAAGCAAU